rnacentral:rRNA from 1 species
AAAAACUCCGGUGGUGUAAGAUGGACCCGCGUCUGAUUAGCUGGUUGGUGAGGUAACGGCUCACCAAGGCGACGAUCAGUAGCCGGCCUGAGAGGGUGAACGGCCACAUUGGGACUGAGACACGGCCCAAACUCCUACGGGAGGCAGCAGUGGGGAAUAUUGCACAAUGGGGGAAACCCUGAUGCAGCAACGCCGCGUGAGUGAAGAAGUCAUUCGUGAUGUAAAGCUCUAUCAGCAGGGAAGAAAAUGACGGUACCUGACUAAGAAGCCCCGGCUAACUACGUGCCAGCAGCCGCGGUAAUACGUAGGGGGCAAGCGUUAUCCGGAUUUACUGGGUGUAAAGGGAGCGUAGACGGCGACGCAAGUCUGAAGUGAAAUGCCAGUGCUCAACACUGGAACUGCUUUGGAAACUGUGUGGCUAGAGUGCAGGAGAGGUAAGUGGAAUUCCUAGUGUAGCGGUGAAAUGCGUAGAUAUUAGGAGGAACACCAGUGGCGAAGGCGGCUUACUGGACUGUAACUGACGUUGAGGCUCGAAGGCGUGGGGAGCAAACAGGAUUAGAUACCCUGGUAGUCCACGCGGUAAACGAUGAUUACUAGGUGUCGGGGGGCUAUAGCCCUUCG